AGUCAAAGAUGCAGUGCGUGUAGUGUUAACUCUGGCACUGUAUAUCCAAUGGCCAAAUAGCCGUGCUUGGAUGGUUAGCCAUUAGGAUUGUCUAGUUGGUGCAAUGUUCUGCUACUGUGGCCCAUGUGCUAUGUGUCCCAUGAGAUACACGGUCUCAAUCCCCAUGGAUGCUGUGUGUCCCAAGUUCCAGUCAUAUAGACCUUGGUUAUUCCUCUUUUCUUGGCCACCCCAGGAAGCAGGGACAAGAUUGAUGGUGGUGGUGAUGAUGAGCCAAGGGCUGGGAUCUUUCUCUUUGUAAAAGAUUUUUUGGGGUAUCCCAUCAAAGGUAGUGCUCUUCAGAUCAACCUCCUUGGAUCCUAGGAACAAUGAUAUCUGGAUCACUGAACCAUGGCCCCACUUCCAUGGACUGGGUCCAUCAAGACACUGGGCAAAUCUUGAUGCACCAGAUGCCAAAACAAUAUCUCAUUUAGAUGGAAAAGAACUCUCUAGUACUGAUUAAGGUUGAUAUUAGUCAAACACUAUAUCUUAUUAUUUUAUUAUUAGUUUAAAGUUUACUAUAUUAUUUAACAAGUGGCCGGUAAUGUAUGGGUCCGUACGGCUCUACUUAUAAAACUUUUUAUUAUUUAUAGAGAGGAUGGGACUUGCAUAGUGCACCCGACAUGAUGAACAACCCCGAUCUUGCACAUGUCCCACAUGGAGAGUAGGAACCAUAUAUAUCUUUACUUAUAUUUUAGAAUAAUUGACUCCUGAUUUUUACUCAGGAAGAGCAGGCCUCAUUUGUAUCACCAGUAGAGCUGACUCUCUUUUGCAUGCUGAGAUCAAUCCUCUAAAACAUACAUCUGCAGAAUUGGAAGAUAUAUGGGUUCCCCUUGAAGAUAUAUAGGUGAUACUUGCGCUUGUUGCACGGACUUUUGUGGGUAAAAAGCCCCACCUGAUCCAGGAUGCAGACAAUCUGUUUCUGCAACUUCAACAUACCAAGGGAUUGCCCCAAUGACAUUAAGGAAGCAGUCUCAACUCUAAUAUUUGCUGCUGCAAGAUGUGCAGAUUUGCCUGAGCUUCAAACGCUAUGGAAGCUAUUUGGAGAGCGUUACGUGAAUGAUUUUGCUAUGGGCCUGAUGGACCGUGACCAAUAUGCUUCUAUGGUUCCCUCACCUGGUUUGUUGUUCUUUUCUUUUCUUUUCUUUAUUAAUUUUCUUCACGUAAUAGGUUUCCUAAGUUGUAUUACACAGUUAAAGCAGAACAAAGGUGGGUUACGAUUAUUCCUUCUUUGUUUCUAAUUGUCUGUUGAAUGCUCACAUGGUUUUCUGAGUUACAAAUUUAAAUUUACAAGUGACAAGUCCUAUUUACAGGUUUGGAAGUUAUGAUCUCAGUCCGUCCAGGAAAUGGACCUUUUCUAGAAAACCAUGGAUUUAAAACCAUUAAAUCCUUCUCAGAAAUCUGAGUUUAUAUAAUGUAUGUUUCCAACCAUUGACUUUAUGUAUAGAUUUACUGUAUGAAUUUAUCCAGUAACCACUAAAAUUUGCUAUUGAUGGGUUUGCACCUUUGCAAAUUGGUUGAACUUUUUUUCCUAUUUUCCUUGAGUUGCUAUGACACCAUAUAUUGUACAGAAACAUAACAUCAUAUGCACAAAACCAACACGUUUUUGAAAAUCCGCAAACGUAUUGGCAAAGUAUGGAAUUCCAUUCAUUUCUGGAGACACCUCAACAUGAAGCAUUGGGUUGUCUAGGAA